GCGCCCACGAAACUAUCGCCAGAGGCUUCUCACCUCUAAAAACCAAUUUUCACUUCCUUUCUAAAUCGCACGUUGAGCAGAAAAGAUGGCGUCGAAGGUUUCGCGUGAUACGCUGUAUGAGGGCGUCAAUGGACUCCUGGAGGCUUCGGCCAAGAAGAAGCGCGGCUUCCUCGAGACGGUGGAACUGCAGAUAGGCCUGAAGAACUACGAUCCCCAGAAGGACAAGCGUUUCUCCGGCACCGUCAAGUACGUUGGCUAAGUCACCUGCGCACGUGCUUGGAGAGAAGCUCCCAUGGGAGUUGAGUCCAUCACGACAUCAGGUAGUCGAGGACAUGUGGCUGUCACAUCUCGACGGACCUGCACUCAGGGUCUUUAAAAUUUGAGUAGGUCUCCAGUAAUGGACACCGAACCCCCAUUUUCUUAAUAACUAUGAAAACGUGCUCCUCUGAGGGCCUUGUUGAAGCACAUUCCUCGUCCCAAGAUGAAGGUGUGCAUCCUUGGCGAUCAGCAGCAUUGCGACGAAGCCAAGGCCAACAACGUCGACUUCAUGGAUGCCGAGGCUCUGAAGAAGCUGAACAAGAAUAAGAAGCUGGUGAAGAAGCUGGCCAAGUCCUAUGAUGCUUUCCUGGCCUCUGAGUCGCUGAUCAAGCAGAUUCCCCGUUUGCUGGGCCCUGGCUUGAACAAGGCCGGCAAGUUCCCUGCCCUGCUGUCGCAUCAGGAAUCUAUGAUUGGCAAGAUCGAGGAGGUUAAGUCGACCAUCAAGUUCCAGAUGAAGAAGGUGCUCUGCCUGUCCGUCGCCGUCGGCCACGUUGGCAUGAAGUCCGACGAGCUGGCCCAAAACGUCAACUUGUCGAUCAACUUCUUGGUGUCGCUGUUGAAGAAGAACUGGCAGAAUGUGCGCUCCCUGCACGUCAAGUCCUCCAUGGGACCGCCCCAGCGUCUUUACUAGAUGCGCAUACUUCAUUUUUCGUACAUCUUGAAAUAAAUAGGAUCCUACAUUUCUAUAAUGUAA
rnacentral:misc_RNA from 1 species